rnacentral:rRNA from 1 species
CCUACGGGAGGCAGCAGUGGGGAAUAUUGCACAAUGGGGGAAACCCUGAUGCAGCGACGCCGCGUGCGUGAAGAAGUAUCUCGGUACGUAAAGCUCUAUCAGCAGGGAAGAAAAUGACGGUACCUGACUAAGAAGCCCCGGCUAACUACGUGCCAGCAGCCGCGGUAAUACGUAGGGGGCAAGCGUUAUCCGGAUUUACUGGGUGUAAAGGGAGCGUAGACGGCAGCACAAGUCUGGAGUGAAAUCCCGGGGCUUAACCCCGGAACUGCUUUGGAAACUGGGCGGCUGGAGUGCAGGAGGGGGAAGCGGAAUUCCUAGUGUAGCGGUGAAAUGCGUAGAUAUUAGGAGGAACACCGGUGGCGAAGGCGGCUUACUGGACUGUAACUGACGGUGAGGCUCGAAAGCGGGGGGAGCAAACAGGAUUAGAUACCCGUGUAGUC